rnacentral:lncRNA from 1 species
GAGAGAAAGAAGCCCACACCAAGGGUUGUCCCAGGCUCCCGGUGUGUUUGCUACUGCCUGCUGCACAGAGUUCCGACAGGGUCCUCCCUUAACAAGCAAAGAGGAAAAUCAUCUCUGUUGCGAUGCCAGUGUGACUCGGCAAAGUUGCAUCUAGCGUGCGCGUCUGUCCUGGCUGAGGGGGGCUGAGAGAGGCUUUGCUGCCCUUUUCCCCCUUGAAUACGAGUUUCUCGUGACUUUCCACCACCCUGAACUCACAAUGAUCCGUCAAGGACCUUCUCCUAUUUCCCUCCCAGCACCAUCCUAAUUUCCUCCCUUCAGUGGCUUCUCUCCUCUUCAUGAUCACUUUAUCCCUUCCUGGACCAGAGGAAAUAACGAGAGACAGUGCCUCCUCCGCUGAAAAUCCACAGCCAGGCAUGGACCCCUCCUCACCACCUCCUACUAUGGUACUUAAAGACCUCACCAUGAAAAACUGGAUUGCAUAAAGGACUGCUCCUGGACAGAGACCCCUGGCUUGUUAUAUUUGCACAACUGGACAGUUUUCAUGGCAUAGAUUGGAUGGACUCUGUCAGUGACAGGAGGCAAUGUCCCUCCUGAAGGAGGGAAGGGAGUCUCUUCACUAGCAAAUACUCCAGCCAUUGGGGAAAAAAAAAAAGAUCCUGUGAUUCCAACCAUGGAACUGCUACUCAAAACAACUGCAAGAAAGAGGAAGUAGAGACCACGCGAGGUAUUUCCGUGUAAGACUGUUCCACCUUGAGAAAAGAAGCAAAAUGUGGAAAUGGGUCCUUGGCUGGAGAAUGGAUUAAAGAGUCUUUGGUCUCUUUCUGAAUUGUGCUACUUAAUUUAUCAUCACCACCAUCAUCAUCAUCUUUGUUGUCAUCAUCUCCAUCAACCGUGCUUCCUACAUGCCAGAAGUGUUGUGUUCCCUGGUUGAUCUCAUUUAAUUCUUCUGACAGCAAUAUGAGGCCUUGGCAGCUAUGCAGAGCAUUGCAGUGAGAAGCUGCUGUCUUGGGGGAGCUUUACUGCUUUUGGAGAUUUAAUACUGAUCUUGAACUUGAGGUGUGUCUGCAUGAACUUCUAUGCACCAGAAACUUUCAUUUCAAUGCUGAAAUGUGGGGUAAGAUUUUGGUGAAAUUUUAAACAAAUUUAGGGAACUACCUUAAGUAAAUUCAACCAGGUAUCACAUGCAGUCUUACUUUGGAAUUGUGAAAAAAAAAUAAUAAUAAGAGUGGAAAUAUGGAAAGAGAAUGCAAUAGCUACAACAGCAUAAACAUUGACUAUUAAGAAUCAAAAUAAUAUUCAUAAAAAAUAUUCAUUAAGUUAGGUGUCAACAUUUGUAAGAAAUGCACUGUUCCUGGCUUCGAGGUGGAAGAAGGCCGCCACAAGCUAAGGAAUGUGGGCCGCAUCUAGAAGCUGGAAAAGGCAAGAAAACAGUCUCCUCUAGAGCCUCUAGAAGGAAUACAGUCCUGGUGACACCUUGGUCUUGGCCCAGUGAGACCCAUAUCAGAUUUCUAACCUACAGAACUAUAAGAUAGUACAUUUAUGUUUUCUUAAGCCACUAGGUGUGUAAUCAUUUGUUACAACAGCCACAGGAAAGGAAUGCAUGUAUGGUUCUCUACAUUUUUGGUCUCUGCAGAGACAGGGUGGAUGGGGCCAGGAGACUAGCUCUGGCACUUAGAAUGGGGGAUGGGUGUGAUUUGCCCCCUACCUGGGCAAUGUGCCAUGACCUCUCUCUCUGGUGGUUGGACAGCUGAAUGCAGAGGGUCAGUAGAGGGUCAAGGAGGCUCUAGUGGAUGGCAGAGUCGCUGUUUGCAAGGAGCCUUGAAUCUGAAGUCACCACUUGAAAGAGUGUUGCCUCUGGGAGCUGCCCCAACCAAAUGCAUGAGUCUUAAUCCCCUGAGUUCCCAGAGUUCAUUUUUCCCUGCAGCAGAGCUGCUUCUAGUCUAACUCCAGAAUCUCCAAAUCAGAUUAUUUUUUCUUUUUAAAAAAUUUUUAAAGAGUUUUUUUUCUUUUUUUUUUUUUAAGGGAUCAAACUUCUACAUGGGCAAAGUCAGAACUUUGUUGGGCUUCCUUAGCCUUAGUUUGUAAUUCAGUCUUUUUAAAAUUUCACGUAGCACAUGGAGAGCAUUGUAAUCAAAUUUCUAUACUUAGGGCUUGUGACGGUCUUAAACCAGUGCUACUUUCUUGGCCACGGAGGCACCCACAGCCUCACAGUGCAGACAGACAGCUCAUUGGUCUCUUACAGGCUCUUCUGGCCUUUUCCUAAAUAUGCUCUCCAGUGCCAUAAAUUUCUACUUUUGUCCAGAGAUUCCUUUUUCUUGGAAUAUGUACCCCACCCCUUCCUUUAAGCUCAGCUCAAUUCCAUCUCCUUCAAGAUGCCUUUCUAGAUUCUCCAAGGAAUAUGAAUUUCCUUCCUCCAUGAUUCCCUGUGUUCUUUCGUAAUACUUAUUAAUGGAUCCCUGUCCUCUCUACCCAAGUACACACACAGGCACAUCCUAAAAUGUAGCUUCCAGAAGGCAAAUAUCAUCCCAGGCUCACUGUGGUCCUUCACCAUAAGAUAGUGCUCUAGGGCAGUAAAUGCUCUGUGCAUUUGCAAAUUUUAGUAAAACCUCUGCGGCUGGUGGAAGAGUUUUGUUUUGUUUGUUUAAGCAGACAGGAUCACGUGGUGCCUUUUAUAUUAUCAUAUAGGACUGGUCCAUUUAUAUAGAGCAAGGGUCCCCCAAGAUUCCUUGUUCAUCAAAAUCUGAAUGACUAAACCAGGCACUGUGCUAAAGGGCCGGAGCACCACGUACCCUGUGGAACUAUCAAAUGUCACCCACUAGGACAGCUGCAAACCACAUAUAGAGUGUACCUACUACGUACCAGACUUUGGGCAGGUGAUCGACAUCAGCCUGAGCCUCUGGCCAGUCCUUCACUUUCUAGGACUUCUUCCCUUUCAGGGAAAUUUGGCCUCCCAGCAUCUGGGGAACAAGCUGCUUAUUUGCUAAUAUCUGUUUGCACAUCAGGGUUUUUUACUUUUAGGAACAGUUUGUCUCUCUGGCAGAUCUCCGUGUUCCCAUACCGUUGUUUAUGAUGUAACUAAGCAUCUAUCGUAUAGAAUUGAACUCAAUUCUCUUUUGAAACUGCAAGAGAUCUAACCCGCUCAUUUUCUUUCCAUUUAACAUACGAGAGGGGUGUGUAGGAGCAGUUUAUUAAGGGGGAGCUGUUUAUUGAGGGAUCCUGGGGCUAAUCCCAGCCCAUUAUUUCUCCAUUUCCUUACAGCUCACUGAGAAGGGUGGGAGAGAACAGGAACGGGGAGACUAUUCUUUCCUGAGUGAUUGUUUGGCCAGUCCACAGGGAUCCUGACUUUCCUACACCCAUCAGGGAAGUAGCAUCCAGAGGGUCAUUCCAGGGACAGGGCUGGCUGUGUCAGGCUGUAAUGAAUGGUUCAGACUGAGAAGUGGAACUUGGCCAACAACAGGGAAAGACAAUAAUCAUUGGAAAAUUUAGGCAUUGAGAAUAAGAUCCAUGUCUGUCUUAUGUCCCCUGGGUACCAACACAAUGACUUGGCUUAGUAACUGCCCCAUAAUGUUUAAAUUAUGUUCAGUGAAUGAGUGAAUGAAUGGAUGCCGUAUUCUUGCUUCCUUCUCCAAACACUCUUUAUAAAAUUACGGCAUCUCAUUCAUGUCUCCUCUAUAAAUCGGGAAUUUGGUGAGGCAUGCUGUUUAUUGCUUAGGAAUCAUUUUACUUAAUCACAAAGGUCCCAGGGGUUCAGGCGGGGAAAAAAAAAAAAAAGCAGGUUUGGGAGAAAGAGUAGGAUAGGAUCUUCCUAGAGAUUUUUCUUUCCUUUUUCUUUAAUGGGCGCACCCAUGGAAGAUGGAAAUUCCCAGGCCAGGUAUUGAAGCCCAGCCUCAGCUGUGGCCAGAUCCUUUAACCCACUGCACCAGGCUGGGGAUUGAACCUGCACCUCGACAGUGACCCAAGCUGCUGCAGUGGGAUUCUUAACCCAAGGUGCCACAGCACAGUGAGGCUAGAGCCCCACUUCAACUCCUAUAGAGUUGAAAGCUCUAUAGGAGUUUCUGUUAUGGCUCAGUGGUAACAAACCCUACUAGUAUCCAUGAGGACGCUGGGUUUGAUAAGCGGGUUAAGGCUCUGGUGUUGCCGUGAGCUGUGGUGUAGGUCACAGACACGGUUCAGACCUGCUGUUGCUAUGGCUGUGGUGUAGGCUGGCAGCUACAGCUCCAAUUCGACCUCCAACCUGGGAACUUUCAUAUGCUGCAGGUUUGGCCCCCAAAAAGACCAAAAAAAAAAAAAAA